UACGUAGGGUGCGAGCGUUAAUCGGAAUUACUGGGCGUAAAGCGUGCGCAGGCGGUGAUGUAAGACAGAUGUGAAAUCCCCGGGCUUAACCUGGGAACUGCAUUUGUGACUGCAUCGCUGGAGUGCGGCAGAGGGGGAUGGAAUUCCGCGUGUAGCAGUGAAAUGCGUAGAGAUGCGGCGGAACACCGAUGGCGAAGGCAGCCCCCUGGGCUGAGAUUGACGCUCAGGCACGAAAGCGUGGGGAGCAAACAGG
rnacentral:rRNA from 1 species